GAUGAAGAACGUAGCGAAAUGCGAUACGUAAUGUGAAUUGCAGAUUUCAGUGAAUCAUCGAAUCUUUGAACGCACAUUGCGCCCGCCAGUAUUCUGGCGGGCAUGCCUGUUCGAGCGUCAUUUCAACCAUCAAGCCUUCGCUUGUGUUGGGGCCCCGCGGCUGCCGCGGUCCCCUAAAUCGAGUGGCGGGCUCGUCGUCGUACCGAGCGCAGUAGACAUCCUCGCUCCGGGAACCCGACGGGUGCCGGCCGUGAAACCCCCCACAUCAAGGUUGACCUCGGAUCAGGUAGGAAUACCCGCUGAACUUAAGCAUAUCAAUAAGCGGAGGA
rnacentral:misc_RNA from 1 species